AAUGAACGCUGGCGGCAGGCCUAAAACAUGCAAGUCGAACGCUUGUAGCAAUACAAGAGUGGCGCACGGGUGCGUAACAUGUGGGAAUAUGCCUUUUGGUACGGAACAACGUUUGGAAACGAACGCUAAUACCGUAUGGUCCCUUCGGGGUAAAGAUUUAUCGCCAAAAGAUUAGCCCGCACUGGAUUAGCUAGUUGGUGAGGUAAUGGCUCACCAAGGCGACGAUCCAUAGCUGGUCUGAGAGGACGAUCAGCCACACUGGGACUGAGACACGGCCCAGACUCCUACGGGAGGCAGCAGUUAGGAAUAUUGGACAAUGGGCGCAGGCCUGAUCCAGCCAUGCCGCGUGAACGAUGAAGGCCUUCGGGUUGUAAAGUUCUUUAGCCGAUGAUUAUAAUGACUGUAGUCGGAAAAUAAGCCCCGGCUAACUUCGUGCCAGCCGCCGCCGUAA
rnacentral:rRNA from 1 species